UAGUCCACGCCGUAAACGAUGAUGACUAGCUGUCGGGGCUCUUGGAGUUUCGGUGGCGCAGCUAACGCGUUAAGUCAUCCGCCUGGGGAGUACGGCCGCAAGGUUAAAACUCAAAGAAAUUGACGGGGGCCUGCACAAGCGGUGGAGCAUGUGGUUUAAUUCGAAGCAACGCGCAGAACCUUACCAGCGUUUGACAUGGUAGGACGGUUUCCAGAGAUGGAUUCCUUCCCUUACGGGACCUACACAC
rnacentral:rRNA from 1 species